GCUCAUCUUGCCAGUGUGCAUUCCUGUGAUUGCAUUAAGGAACAAGCUGGGCUGUGCUUUUUCUCUCUCCAUGUAGUUUCAGGACUUCUCCCUCUUCACAUAGUUUCUACAUGGCAUUUCCAGCAGAAUUCCUGGAUUCUUCCUGAGUUGGUCAGGGAUCCUAAGAGCUCAAGAGCAGAAACUUCCAGCCCUUCAUGAAAUUUCAGUGCAAACUAUCACUUCUGCCAUAUUCUAUUCAGGAAAAAGAGUCACAGGACCACCCUAGAUUCACAGGAAGGGGACUACACAACGUUAUGAACACCAAGAGGCGGUUCACGGGGAGAUGCCAGUAGAGCCAGUGGUGUUCUGACAAAUUGACAGUUUUCCACUUUCCUAAGAAGAAGAAAUGGCCAAAUCCCAGGCAUUUAUUAGUCAGCAUUUAUUGAGCAUCUACUAUCUUCCUGGCAUUCUGAUUGGUGAUGGGAUACAAAAUAGUACAGAAAAAUUUAUUGCUGUCUUCAGGGAGAUAGAGGAGAAGGCAUUAACAAACUGCAAUAAGAAGACUGUAAUACAAGCUAGCCCAAAGAACUAUGUAAAUGCAAAGGAGCAACAACUCUGCCAUGGAGGAAGAAUAAUCUCUCAUAGAACGAGAUAUGAUUAAUUCACUGUUGACAGAUGUGACGGAAAGGAUUUAGAUUACACUUACACAUUUUUUAACAUCUGCUAUGUUCAGACACUGUGCUAGGCAAUGAGGAUUCAGGCAAGAAUAAGAGACGAUCCUUAUUAGUUAAGGAGGCAGACUUCUCUAAGAAAUACACUCAAAUUUAAUGAUCCAAACUUAAUCAAAAUUUUUUUUUUCAUGUAACAGUCCAGGGCUAAUAUUUAAAGUUGGCUGAAGGGAUAUUUCCUCCACAUGACCCUUUAGGUUACUCUGGAUGUCUGCACUCUGUCAUCUGCAACACCUGGCUUUCAAGAUUGCUCUGGUCAUUGUUCUACCAAUCACUUGCAAGGAAGAAGAGCAUGAUAAAGUUCCCCCACAGGGUUGUAUGGGGCAGAUCUGAAAGCUUCAUUUAUCAUGUUUGGUGCACAUUCCAUUGUUUAGAACUAUCACAUGUAUACAUGUACCUGCAAGGAAGGAUGUCUCGGAAUAUCUAGUUUUGUGCUCAGUAAGAAGCAGAGCAUAUGUUGUAGUAGGUAUCUGCACACUGACACAGCUUACAAGUUUAUCCUUGGAAGCAAAGUCACUGUUACCAAGAUUCUAAUUGUCAAUAUGAGGGCUUUCUUUCUUUCUUAAAAGCCUAAGGACAUGGAAUAAAUUCACAUUUUGGAUUUCAUUUAGAAAUGGAAACCUGAAUAAAAUCCAGUGAUUCAACACCAAAGUACCCAGUUUAUUAGGAAGAAUCAGCACAUGGCAUAAUAAUGGAAAGAUAUGGCCAGUGACUAAUUCCCAUGCAAAGAAAUCAUAGAAUGUAAUGAACAAUCAGAGAGGCAUUUGGAAAACCAGAAGCAGCUUGUUUUAUUCAAGCCUUGUUUUAUUAAAACAUUUACCCAGGAAAAAGGGACAUGAAUUAUAAGUAAUUUAAAUUUUUUUUUUUUGAGAUGGGGUCUCGCUCUGUUGCCCAGGCUGGAGUUCAAUGGCAUGCUCAUGGCUCACUGCAGCCUCAACCUCCUGGGCUCAGGUGAUCCUCCCACCUCAGCCUCCCUGGUAGCUGGGAUUAUGAGCAUGUGACACCAUGCCUGGCUAACUUUUGUGUUUUUUGUAAAGAUGUGAUUUUGCCCUUUAGCCCAGACUGGUUUUGAACUCCUGGGCUCAAGUGAUCCACCCACCUUGGCUUCCCAAAGUGCUGGGAUUACAGGUGUGAGCCACUGUGCCCAGGCUUAAAUUUGAUUUCAAACCUUGUUACAUACCAGAGUGCCUGUUCAAAAAAAAAAGGCUCCAUAUAUGUGAGCCACACAGAGAGCUUAAACUGUAAUUCAGAGCAAUCAGGAGAUGAAAUGUAUAAUAAGAUAGGACACAAACAAAUGGAAAAAUAUUCCAAGUUCAUGGAUAGGAAGAACCAAUAUUGUGAAAAUGGCCAUACCGCCCAACGUAAUUUAUAUAUUCAGUGCUAUCCCCAUGAAGCUACCACUGACUUUCUUCACAGAAUUAGAAAAAACUACUUUAAAUUUCAUAUGGAACCACAAAAGAGCCCAUAUAGCCAGGACAAUCCCAAGCAAAAAGAACAAAGCUGGAGGCAUCAGGCUACCUGACUUCAAACUAUACUACAAGGCUACAGUAAUCAAAAUAGCAUGGUACUACUACCAAAACAGAUAUAUAGACCAAUGGAACAGAACAGAGACCUCAGAAAUAUCACCACACAUCUACAACCAUCUGAUCUUUGACAAACCUGAUAAAAACAAGUAAUGGGGAAAGGAUUCCCUAUUUAAUAAAUGGUGUUGGGAAAAGUGGCUAGACAUAUGCAGAAAACUGAAACUGGACCCCUUCCUUACACCUUAUACAAAAAUUAACUCAAGAUGGAUUAAAGACAAAUGUAAGACCUAAAACCAUCAAAACCUACAAGAAAACCUAGCCAAUCCAUUCAGGACAUAGGCAUGGCCAAAGACUUCAGGACUAAAACACCAAAAGCAAUGGCAACAAAAGCCAAAAUAGACAAAUUGGGAUCUAAUUAAACUAAAGAGCUUCUGCACAGCAAAAGAAACUAUCAUCAGAGUGAACAGGCAACCUACAGAAUGGAAGAAAAUUUUUGUAAUCUAUUCACCUGAAAAAGGGCUAAUAUCCAGAAUCUUCAAAGAACUUAAACAAAUCCACAAGAAAAAAAACAAACAAAAGGAUAUCAACAGAUGCCUCUCAAAAUACGACAUUUAUAUGGCCAAAAAGCAUAUGAAAAAAAGCUCACCAUCACUGGUCAUUAGAGAAAUGCAAAUCAAAACCACAAUGAGGUAUCAUCUCACACCAGUUAGAAAGGCAAUCAUUAAAAAGUCAGGAAACAACAGAUGCUGGAGAAGAUGUGGAGAAAUAGGAAUGCUUUUACACUGUUGGUGGGAGUGUAAAUUAGUUCAACCAUUGUGGAAGACAGUGUGGAGAUUCCUCAAGGAUCUAGAACCAGAAAUACCAUUUGACCAGCAAUCCCAUUACUGGGUAACCAAAGGAUUAUAAAUCAUUCUACUAUAAAUACACACGUACACGUAUGUUUAUUGCAGCACUAUUCACAAUAGCAAAGACUUGGAACCAACCCAAAGGCCCAUCAAUGAUAGACUGGAUAAAGAAAAUGUGGCACAUAUACACCAUGGAAUACUAUGCAGCCAUAAAAAAGGAUGAGUUUAUGUCCUUUGCAGGGACAUGGAUGAAGCUGAAAACCAUCAUUCUCAGCAAACUAACACAAGGACAGAAAAUCAAACACUGCAUGUUCUCACUCAUAAGUAGGAGUUGAACAAAGAGAACACAUGGACACAGGGAGGGGAACAUCAUACACCAGGGCCUGUCGGUGGGUAGGGGAAUCAGGGAGGGAUAGCAUUAGCAGAAAUACCUAAUGCAGAUGACGAGUUGAUGGAUGCAGCAAACCACCAUGGCACGUGUAUACGUAUGUAACAAACCUGCCUGUUCUGCACAUGGAUCCCAGAACUUAAAGUGUAAUAAAUAAUAAAAGAAAUGUCAACUUCCCAUAUACUUAAAAAAAAAAUAAGCAUCUACCUUAAGAAACAAAAAAGUACACCCAAAUCAAGCAGAAGG